GAUGAACGCUAGCGGCAGGCCUAACACAUGCAAGUCGAGGGAGAAGCCCUUUCGGGGGCAGAAACCGGCGCACGGGUGCGUAACGCGUAUGCAACCUACCUUUCACAGGGGGAUAGCCCGAAGAAAUUUGGAUUAAUACCCCAUAAUAUUAUUGGAUGGCAUCAUUUGAUAAUUAAAACUGCGGUGGUGAAAGAUGGGCAUGCGUCCUAUUAGCUAGUUGGAGUGGUAACGGCACCCCAAGGCUACGAUAGGUAGGGGUCCUGAGAGGGAGAUCCCUCACACUGGUACUGAGACAGGGACCAGACUCCUAUGGGAGGCAGCAGUGAGGAAGAUUGGUCAAUGGUCGGAAGACUGAACCAGCCAUGCCGCGUGCAGGAAGAAUGCCUUAUGGGUUGUAAACUGCUUUUAUAUGGGAAGAAUAAGGCGUACGUGUACGUUGAUGACGGUACCAUAUGAAUAAGCAUCGGCUAACUCCGUG
rnacentral:rRNA from 1 species